AGAGAGCUUGCUUUCUCGAGCGAGUGGCGAACGGGUGAGUAACGCGUGAGUAACCUGCCCUGGAGUGGGGGACAACAGUUGGAAACGACUGCUAAUACCGCAUAAUACUUUCGAGCGGCAUCGUUUGAAAGUCAAAGAUUUAUUGCUGAAAGAUGGCCUCGCGUCUGAUUAGCUAGUUGGUGAGGUAACGGCCCACCAAGGCGACGAUCAGUAGCCGGACUGAGAGGUUGACCGGCCACAUUGGGACUGAGAUACGGCCCAGACUCC
rnacentral:rRNA from 1 species